UACGGGGGGGGCAAGCGUUGUCCGGAAUUAUUGGGCGUAAAGAGCUCGUAGGCGGUCUGUCGCGUCGGCUGUGAAAACCCGGGGCUCAACCCCGGGCCUGCAGUCGAUACGGGCAGACUAGAGUGCGGUAGGGGAGACUGGAAUUCCUGGUGUAGCGGUGAAAUGCGCAGAUAUCAGGAGGAACACCGGUGGCGAAGGCGGGUCUCUGGGCCGUAACUGACGCUGAGGAGCGAAGCGUGGGGAGCGAACAGGA
rnacentral:rRNA from 1 species